rnacentral:lncRNA from 1 species
CUCGGCAGCAAGUACAGUGUCCAGCGUAGCACCUCAAACCUUGGGGUGUCCUACUAUGUGAAGCCUGACUUUUCAACCGACUACCAAGGGAGCAUUAGGCGGUUAGAGCAGCAUGUAGAGGAGGACUAUGUGUCUACUUUACGAAACGCUUGCUUUAAAGAGAAGAAUUAUAAGGAAAACAUGAUAUGGAGAGCCCGGUCCUUUGGCGACGCGCAGAUGUUCAAGCGAGCUCAGGAGUUACGAACCCCUUCGUGCGACUCGCUGCAGAGUCUCUAUAGUUAAGGAUGCACUCCACAAUAAGCUCUGUUAAUGUAGAUCUUGAGCAUUGCUUCAUUCUGCUGUAUGCAGGGAGGCACAAUCUCUGGUGAGCUGUCAAAGAACAGCAUGUGGAAGCUACUUGGAUGCAGCAAAGAGAAAGAGAGAGAGGGAAAGCAAACUAUAUCAAGCAUGUUCUUCAUCUAAACAAUCCAGCUUGCCAGCCAUGCCUUCCUCUCAGACUACAGGACUGUUUCUUACGGGCAGGAGGGAUGAAGAACACUUGGCUGGGAGAUGACACUGUUGUUUUUGGACGUUGUGCCUGCAUCUUGUCUUUUGCCAUUGUCUGUUGUUGUUUAUUGGUCUUAGGAGUAUUAUUCACUGGUCUUUGGAAUAGUUCUUGCAUUAUACCCCCCCCCCCCUUCUCCUCAUUUUCUUUCUCUGUUAAAAAAAAAAAAAAGUGCAAUAUGCAAAUAUAGCCCAGCCCAGUAAUAUGGCUUGGGUGUAUACUUGUGUCCCAUUCUGCAUAAAGAAGUGAUGCUGGAAGCAGUGUUCUUUCUCUGACUGUUGAGAGCAAAUUGCUAUAGUUUCAACACUGCGUCAUUGCAUAUAUCAUCAUACCCGUCUCAGGUUGCAUAAAGAGAAAAAGAGAGAGAGAGAGAGACUGAAACAGAGAGAGAGAAAUAAGAUGCAAUUUAUGCAAGUGAUAAGUAAACGUGAACCACCAGAAGAUUGUUGAUGCUCUCCUACUUAAAUGAAUGCUUGAACAGUACUUUUUGUGAACAGGAUCAUUGGGUAUGUGGCCUUCAAAAACUUGUUGAUUUACAAGUCAUUCCUUUAUUUUGUAGCCAGGAUAUCUGUAAAUUCAUAUGAGGGUUAGCAGCAUUUUGCUUUGUCUAGCAUUGAACAGUGAGAUUUUUUUUUUUUUUUUUUUACUAUUAUUAGUUUUAUUAUUAAAAUUAUCAUUAUUAUUAUCAUCAUCAUUAUCAUCAUCAUUAUUAGUACUGCUACUACAAGUAUUAUUUUCUCUUCUUUUUUUAAAAUAUAUAUGUGCAUGUGUGUUUUUUGUCUAUUAUUCUCAAAGCUCUUGUGUUGUAUAUACUUUGUUUCAUACAUAAUAAUAUAUCUAUAUGUAGAGUAAAAGAGUAUGUAGAAAUAAGAAACAGAUUUGGUUGCAAGUGAGUGAGUGGUCAGAAAUUGAAUUUAGUGAAAAUAACAGAAAAUACAACAAAAUCAGGAAAUUUAUCAAGAGUUUAUUUUACAAAUUAAGAGAAAUCUGAAAUAAAAACUUCUAUAAAUAUUGCUUGUGUCAUUGAAUCUUGUGUGGUAAAGGAAAGGAUGACAAACUAGAAACUAAAUUUGUGAAAUUUUGGCAUUUCAUUUCAUGCAUGAAAAGCAUGCCUCUGUAUUAACUUUUUUUUAUCAUUUUAUUUUUCAUCUCCCCCCUCAGUUGUAAAAUAUAUUCUUCUCACACUGAAAGGGAUUACAAGACACACAGAAUACAGUAUGAUUUCUUUCACCGUUUUAUGUAGACAUUUCAGUCAAGCCGUAUAAGAAUCUUAGACUAGGGAUGGACUGCAUUGUUGUUCGUCAGCCUUUGAAAUAGGAUGCUUAAAUUCGGAUCAGUAUCAACACAUUGUAUUUUGUUGUAGGAUAAAUUUUAUUUGUUAGAAAAUAAAGAGAUUUGAAAAGAAAAUAUCCUGCUUUUUAUACUAGCAUAACUAGUAAUACUGCAGAUUUUUUAUGUGACUUGAUGAACAGUGGUUUAGAAAGAUAGCGAGUUUGUGCACAUACAGAUGUGAGAGAGCGAGAAUGAGAUGAUGUGAAAAAGUGAGAGAGAUGAAUGGAGGAAAGGCAGACAGAUCUUGUCAAUUUUUGCAUACAUUGUCUAGUCAAGUCUUCAAUUACUUACGACCAGUUAUGCUAUCCAUAUAAUUUAAAAUGGAGACUCAUACUUUGCUAGAUAUGUGCUGGUUAAUAUAGGAAUGGUAAUUUCCAUUAAUGCUUAUGUUGGAAGUUUAGUGUAGUGAAAAAGAAACACACAACAAUAAUGAUGAUGAUGAUGCAACCAAGCUACAGUCAAGAGAUGUAGGAAUGUUAAGCUCAUACUGCCUUAAGUCACUCUUUGGUUGUAGCUCUGUGAAGUAUAUCAGUAACAACUCUUACUGGGUGUGGGACAUGUUGGUGAGUUAAACUUUUAAAAAUCCUGGUAUAUAAAACAUUUUCUAUGAAGUUCAUGUAUGGGAAUGUUUAUUUAUAAUAGACUGUAUCCUUUGUUUUUUUUUUUGUUAUUUUUUCUUUAAGCUAGUGGAUUUGAUGUAUUUAUACUUGUGAGAUAGUGUUCAUAAAAUGUUUAUUUUCUGGUGGAUAUGAUUUUAGACAUGUAUGCUGAACUGUUGAUGUGUAUUCUGGUUAUUGUUACUGUGAACGAAAACUGAGGGAAAACUUUUCUUAGUUGUUUUAAAGAUGUAUACUGUUAGGAUUUAUUUGUUGUGCGUUUGUAUGUAUGGAUGGAAGAAAGAAGUAGUCAGACAUUUAUCUUCCUUAACUUUCUUCUGUUUGCCAUUGUCUUCAGAAUGUAUAGCAUGUUUUGAAGUACCUUCCUUCUAAGGGCUCUUACGCAGAUUGAGAAGUAAACUAAAAACCUUUCCUUGGAAAUUAAUACAUGAACAGAGACAUCCCAAGGGACUGUGAUGGGUUUUGCAGCAUCUAAUUUGUACAAAACAGUAAUUACAGUGCAUGAUAUUUUCCAUUAUAUGUUUUAGGCAAAAAAAAAAUCAUUAUUUGUUAAAGUUGAACACCUGUGCAAUUCACUGGUUACGUUAUGUCCUUCAGGAAAUGUUUAGCUUAUAACACUGUUAAAGUAAAACCAAACAACAACAAAACAGUGUGAAAAAGCAAAUAAUUAUAUCAAGAUUUUAUGACAUGGAAUGUGUGGCAAUUGAAUUUAUUGUCCUUUUGGAGAAAAUCAAAGAAACAAAGCUAAUAUAUAAAGAGCAGAAGCUUAGAUGUCUGGAUGCAUGUUUGUGUCUUUUGCAUGUAAUGUUUUUCUUUUCUUUCUUUUUUUUUUCUCUUCAUUUCUUUCUUGUUUUUAUAGUAAUUAAUAUUAGGUUUUGAAUUUUUUUUUCUUUAGUUUUCUUUUCUGUCUUGUAAUUGAGAAAAUUGUGUAUCUUAUUUAUUUUUCAUCAAAAUAAUGAAUGAAUGUAAAGAUACAAUACACUAAACUUAUAAAGAAUAACUUUUGGAAUGAGAGAGAGAGAUGGAUGUAGUCUUGUUUGUAUAGGCAUAGAAUUCAAACAAGAGUUUGCAAAAGACGAAAUGAAAAAGACUGUAAAUGCUUAAAAAGACCUUUGGUCUAAACAAAUAUAUAUUUAUGUAAAUAUAUAUAAACAUUUAUUAUUCAUUAGUUCUUUCUGUUUUAUCCUAUAUUCAUUCCUGGUUUUCCUGUUUUUGAAGUGAGUUAAUCAUUGCUUUUAAUUUUCAUACUUAUCAAAGCCUUUUUUUCACGUUUGAUCACAUCUGUUGAAAAAUAAAUUAUGAUGUUCACCUUAUUGCUGUUAUUAUUGGCCAUAGUUCUUGAGGUCUCCAUCGCCAUUUCCAUUGUUGGGAAUCAUCCACAUGAAAGCAGACUACUUUUGGAAUGUCUAGAAUAUCACUACCUUAUCUAAUCAUCCAGAUUGUUCCUAUAAUAAAGUGUGUCUGUGCAAAACCAGACAUUGCACAGAGCUAAGUCUUUGUGUGUGUGCAUCAUGCGCACUCAUGCUUGUGCAUAUAUUCUGAAGUUGUACAUAAUGACCUUAAAUUGUUUGUCAUGCUCCAAGGCAGGUGAUGAAGGAAGUGGAAAUAGAGCUGCUCCCCUGCGAGGACAAGAAGCAGUGGCUGCGUAUAUCAUGUACAGUUUCAUUUCAUUAUGCAUAUACAGUUUUUUUGUUUUUUUUUGCCUUGCUUUCAUUUCACAAGUCAUUAGUUUUCUUUUGCCUGUGCUAAUGUGCAUCCUUAGGGAUAAAAGGAAAAGGAGAUAAAAUGGCAAUGCACCUUUCCUUCUGUGCAUGCCUCUUUAAGGAGUGUUUGUUGACGGCUGGUAGACAGGUGCACAGACGACAGGGGACACUUGGGCAUCGAGUGAGAGUCUUUGUUUGAGUGCAUGGAAGAAGUUUUUUAAUAUUUAUUAUUAUCAGUGGAUACUGUUCAACAUACUGUGUAUGUACCUUAAAUAAAAUAAAUGUAUAUAAUAGUACAGUAUAUAUGGUAUUGAAUAUAUUGCUGCACAGAAUGAUUGGCUGAAAAAUACCUUUUGUACAUUUGAGUUCCAGUAUUUGUAUAGUUGUGUAUAUUGCCCAAAUCUUGAAGAUUAUGGUAUUGUACCCUCCUAAUCAGUAAACAUUAAAAUAAAAAA